AUUGAACGCUGGCGGCAGGCCUAACACAUGCAAGUCGAGCGGUAGAGAGGUGCUUGCACCUCUUGAGAGCGGCGGACGGGUGAGUAAUGCCUAGGAAUCUGCCUGGUAGUGGGGGAUAACGUCCGGAAACGGACGCUAAUACCGCAUACGUCCUACGGGAGAAAGCAGGGGACCUUCGGGCCUUGCGCUAUCAGAUGAGCCUGGGUCGGAUUAGCUAGUUGGUGAGGUAAUGGCUCACCAAGGCGACGAUCCGUAACUGGUCUGUGAGGAUGAUCAGUCACACUGGAACUGAGACACGGUCCAGACUCCUACGGGAGGCAGCAGAGGGGAAUAUUGGACAGUGGGCGAAAGCCUGAUCCAGCCAUGCCGCGUGUGUGAAGAAGGUCUUCGGAUUGUAAAGCACUUUAAGUUGGGAGGAAGGGUACUUACCUAAUACGUGAGUAUUUUGACGUUACCGACAGAAUAAGCACCGGCUAACUCUGUGCCAGCAGCCGCAGUAACAC
rnacentral:rRNA from 1 species